CUGUGGUAAUUUUUAAAUCUUCUUUUGCUUUGGUUUUAACCUAAAGCCUGGACUUAACAGUUCUACCUCUUGCUGAAUAUGGGAUGGGGAAGGAAUGGGAAAGUAUGAUAACAUUUUCUUGAAAGGGCUGAGCAUUGGAGUUUCUGAGCACUGCAAUCACUUACCCAGGGCUUUCUUUUAAACUUGAUAGAUGGUGGGGCCCCCAAAAUCAUGAGAAUGAAAUCAUCCUAACUCAUCCCCUGGAGAGAAGAGCUGACUUGUUCCCUGUGAGUCCAACAAAAUGGCCUUGAAUACGUGGCCUGGCCUCAGACAUUACAUCAUCACUCAGCCUUUCUAUGUUGACAUUAUGUGGGUAUAGCAGAGGUGCAGGCAGGGAAGCACAUAAAGUUUAACUUGAUUCUUUCUAUAACUUCGUGUAGCCCUGAUUAAUCUUGCUGGGGGUGUGGCAUGCCAUAUAUUCUCCUUUAUCUGAAAUAAAGGCACCCUCUUGGGGUCUGUCCUUUGACUUGCUUUGUGACUUGAAGCUAUUAUUUUCUUCUCCUCAUCUUCCUUUUCUAUCUUGUAUAUUUUUAGCCCUUUAGCUUCUGAGGCAUUUUUCAUUUCAUGUUGAAUCCUCCCAGUGACAGAUUUCACCCCAAUGCAAAGCUGAGGCCUAGAGUGUUUGAAACAGCAGAUGUCAUCGGUCACAAGAGGAGGACUGGACUCAGUCUCUUGCUUGUGAUCAUGCUCUCUUCUCUUCCUCAUAGACGAGCUGCUACCUGGGUUCUACACAGGAAGUGUUGGUAGCACCUUCCAUGGACUAAGAGAAAUUCCUUGUUGUAUAUAUUAUUUAGGUGAAUUAUUUUACAGGCUUUUAUAGAGAGAAGGUAGCAUGAAAAUAAUACCAGCCGUGUAUAACUCUUUUUGAAUCCUGAACCUUUUCGAAAAUCUAAAAGCUACGAACACUUAUUCAGGAAAAUGUACAUAUGCACAUCAUUUUGCAUAUAAAAUUAAAGAGUUCAUGAAAUUCCAGAAACCUAGCAGUUUUGGGUAUUAGACAUCCUGAAUUAAGAUUUUACCCAUGGAUUAGAUCCCUUAGUUCAUUUACUGAUGCAGUUUUAGAGCUUUGAAAGCUUCAGAGGUUCUGGAGUAUAGCAGCCUGUUUGAUAUGGUCUGGUUUAUAAGUGUUUAGCGGAGAAGGAACACAGGUGAGCUUGAUUUCUUCUUAGGAACAAAAGGAAUUGAUAGGAUCUGGUGAUGCAACAUGAUAGGUCUCCCUCAAUGUAUAGUUCUGGCUCGGAGGCUGGACUCUAGUACUAGGAAAUUGCUGGUAGAUACCCAGGAAGGGAACAGAAUAUUACCUUUCCUGCUCUACCUGCCCUAUCUCCUGUAGAGAUUUGCCUCUCUUUCCGGUGUCUUCAGACUUUGGAGAAAAAGGAAAGUAACGUUUCUUCCUCUUGAGUGGUUGGAAACCCUGGCUUGAACAAUGAGUAUAAAUACUCCUAUGCAGACUGAAAUGAGUGAUGCUGUCUCUCUACUGCCCAGGCCCCACAUCCAGCAACUGAGGCCCACAGAGGGAGAUUGGUGCCAAAGCCCAUUGGGUUGAUUGCCCUUCCUCUUGCCCAGCUUUCCAAAAGAGUUUUGCCAAAUAAAAAUUAAUAUUUAAGUAAUGCAGCCUACUUUGUUACAAGCAGCUAUUGGAGACUUAGAGCAUUUUUAUAUUUCUUCCCUACUACUAUUGGCUGUCUUUAUGGAACAUUUCUUUAUUAAUAGAAUUUUCCUACUUGGUUAUUUUAAUAAACCAAAGAAUUCCAGGAACCUAAUGGAGUUGAAAUGGCAAGUGGAAGCAGGAGUCAUGUAACUUUACCUGAGAAAAAAUAGUGGUAGUCUUAUGGAUAUGCAUAUUUUUAUUCUUUUGUUGGGAGCCAAGGGAAUUCUGUUUCUCCUAUCAUAAAUAAGAUAAAAUAAACUUAACGGCUUUGGGCAUUUCCAAAGCAAAAUUGCACUGAUUGCUUUAGAUGGCAUUUGUGGCAGGUACUGGGUGUAAAUGAUAUGAAUAUUAUAUACCAGUUGCAAACUUUUUUCUGGAAAUAAUCUUUGAAAGAGCACAUCACGAAGUUGUUCAAUCACAUUUUUUUCCCUUUCUGACAAAAGGUCAGAAGUAAGAUUUAAAUAGCAGUCUCUCUGCUGUUACUAAUCUAGGCUAGAAUAGCCAUCUGGUUUUUCUAUCCUAGUCAAUACAGUUGAUUAGGCAGGCAUGCCAUUUACUAGAGACUAAUUAAUCAAUUACUAUGGAAGGAGCCUUGGAGAAAACUGUGUAAGUUGAUCAGUACUCAAUGAAUAGAAACUGAUUGAUAUGUUCCCUUCUUUAUCAACAGAUGUUUGGGAAUAUCAAAUGCUGUGCAAACACACAUACGUAUACAUACACUUAGAAAUGGAGCAGAAAGAUAUUUCUGUGUUAGCAAAAGGCUUGUUAAGACAUUAACGUGUUAUUCUUGGAGCAUGUCAGGUGAUGGCCUAUCCCUCCUGCUGUCUAGAACAUUUUCCUCUUUUUAAUAUGGAUUUUGGGUGGGAAGAAGGGGGCAGUUUUUGCUUCUAUAAUGUUUCUAAACCCAGUGAGGCCUUAGAAUAUUGUUGGUAAGGUUAUCUGUAACACCUUUAAAUAAAGGUGUUAGGGAAGGAAAAAUAAUUUCUUUGCUAGACGAUGGCUAAUACAUUUGGGGUUUUUUUGUUUGUUUUGUUUUGUUUCCCAUUUUCUUCUAAGAAGCAUCUAUUUAGUAGGCAGUUUUGCUGUGGCAGGCCAGGCUAUGCUUAGAUCCCUCUUUGACCCUUCAAGUUAUUAAAAAUUUUUUGUGACUUGGGUGACUCUAUAAAGGUGGUCUCUGUUUUUAGAGGCAUGGACUUCUCUGGGUAUUCAGCUAACAAAAUGCCUUUGCAAAUAGAGGUCUUUCUCAGAACUUGUGUAAUUGGAGAGUGCUAAGAGAUGAAAGGGGCAGGAAAUCCUGGAGGGGACACUGGUUAUUACAGCGGACUACCAGAGAGUCAGAAGUGUUAGGUGAAUGGCUGUUUCUGUAAAGGUUAAUGGAUUGACAAGGAUAUGUGGGCAAAUGAGACAGCGACAGAGUGCUAAUGCAGUCAUCUUUUUUUCAUGCUGAUGGUAGUGGUUCCUUCUUAAAAUCUAUUGAGAAGAACAGCUGUUGUGUCCCUCUGCUUGACCAAGUUAAUAUUCCAUAUUGAUAGUGGAUUAGAUAAAAGGAUUAGAUAAAAUGCCCUGGCCUCGAGUUAACUCAAAAGCGACUGAGCUGCAUGGAGGCCAGAAGAGUUUACUCCUGGUCAGCCUCAGAUUCAACACCAGAUUCCCUGAGUAAAAAUAUGCAGAGACAUUUGAAAUUAGAUAUCAACAUAAAAAGGAAAAGAAAGAGAAAGAAACCUGUACCUUCAGUUUCACCACUUGAGGUGAAGUUCAAUUUUCUGGUUAAUUCAAGUAAUUACCAUGUUACUAAAUUUGGAUAUAAUUACGCAGUUUGGGUAGUGAUUUCUUUUGGUGGUGAUUGGUGUUGGCACUAUUUGGUCUUUGUUCUCUUGCUCAUUUUUCCUUGUAUCCCACAGCAAGUACUUAACUGUGAGAAGGCGGGUCAAGACUAGCAGUGCCCCAGUUGUCUCCUUGAGCACUGUCUGUUAGCAGGGCCUCAGUCGUAGGCUCCAGCCUGACCUUGGGAGGAGAUGGCCCCUUCCAGUACACCCUUAGAAGAGGGACCAUUUCCAGCUGCUCUGAUGAUGUUAAACAUAUCUCUGCAGUCAGCCUGCUUGAAAUAAUCUGUGUUUUUGCAAAGCUUAAAAAAAAAAAAAAA